ACAGCCAUACCAUGCUGAAUAUACCGGUUCUCGUUAGAUCACCGAAGUCAAGCAUCAUUGGGCGUGGUCAGUACUUGGGUGGGUGAACACC
rnacentral:rRNA from 1 species